UUGUAAUGCAGAGUGAAACGGGUCUUUUAAUAGUCUCAGAUGAAACAUUCUGGAAUAGGAAGCUGGGAGGUUGUGAAGGGGGCGUUGAGAGUUUCCUCUCUGAAGUUCCUGAGCUGGCUUCCGAGGUACAGAGGAAUGAUUCCCAGCUGCCCUGAAAGCUCCAAGCUCCCUCCCUCCUCUGCUGGACGAAGGCAAUGGCUUCCGAGUUCUGCAAAGGAUCCCAGCCACGCUGUGUUUUAUCCUUGCAACCAGUUGCAGAUCACUUUCCUGUGCACGUGUCUGUCUUCCGCCCUGUUCUCAUUCUCCCUGCAUUCCCUGCCGUGGCAGCAUUCAUAGUGCCGAAUAAAUACUGUGGACCAUCUUGGUGAGUUGCUGAAUUUUUACUGACUUCAUGCAUUUUUGUCAAGCACGCCAGAGUAACCAUUGCAGGUAGGUCC
rnacentral:lncRNA from 1 species